rnacentral:lncRNA from 1 species
UUGAACCUGCUCUGAAGAUUCUUUGUUCAAUCCUAUUCAGGUCUUAUAUGAACCUGUCAUUGAACCUUUUUAUUCCGGGGUCGGGUCAUCCUUGAACCUGCUCUGAAGAUUCUUUGUUCAAUCCUAUUCAGGUCUUAUAUGAACCUGUCAUUGAACCUUUUUAUUCCGGGGUCCGGUCAUGCUUGAACCUACUCUGAAGAUUCUUUGUUC